CCGCUGAACUUAAGCAUAUCAAUAAGCGGAGGAAAAGAAACCAACCGGGAUUACCUCAGUAACGGCGAGUGAAGCGGUAACAGCUCAAAUUUGAAAUCUGGCUCCUCUGGAGUCCGAAUUGUAAUUUGUAGAAGAUGCUUUGGGUUGUGGGUUCGGCCUAAGUUCCUUGGAACAGGACGUCAUAGAGGGUGAGAAUCCCGUAUGUGGCCGAGGCCCGCGCCUAUGUAAAGCUCUUUCAACGAGUCGAGUUGUUUGGGAAUGCAGCUCAAAAUGGGUGGUAAAUUUCAUCUAAAGCUAAAUAUGGGCCAGAGACCGAUAGCGCACAAGUAGAGUGAUCGAAAGAUGAAAAGCACUUUGGAAAGAGAGUUAAACAGUACGUGAAAUUGUUGAAAGGGAAGCGCUUGCACCCAGACUUGGACGCUGCCGAUCACCUUGAGGUCUCCUCGAGUGCACUCGACAGCGUACAGGCCAGCAUCGGUUCGGGUGGCUGGAUAAAGGCCGUAGGAACGUAGCUCUCUUCGGGGAGUGUUAUAGCCUACGGUGCCAUGCAGCCCAGCCGGACCGAGGACCGCGCCUUCGGGCUAGGAUGCUGGCGUAAUGGGUGUAAGCGACCCGUCUUGAAACACGGACCAAGGAGUCUAACAUCUAUGCGAGUGUUUGGGUGGUAAACCCAUACGCGGAAUGAAAGUGAACGUAGGUGAGAACCCCCUUUGGGGGCGCAUCAUCGACCGAUCCUGAUGUCUUCGGAUGGAUUUGAGUAAGAGCAUAGCUGUUGGGACCCGAAAGAUGGUGAAUCUAUGCCUGAAUAGGGUGAUGCCAGAGGAAACUCUGGUGGAGGCUCGCAGCGGUUCUGACGUGC
rnacentral:rRNA from 1 species